GUUGGGGGUGCCACAGCCAGUUCUGCCUGUCAGCGGUACAGAGGCUUCUGCUCCCUGGGGAAAAGCUGGAUCAUCUUCAGGUACUGAAGAUGCUCAGAAAUGAUCAGGAGGUAAAGAACUGGAUUGCAUCUAGGAAAUGGCAAAGUGCUAUCAACGAUUCCAAGCUGAUCCCUAACUCAAAAGCCUGUCAUUUCAACAUCAAGAUUCUCCUGGUGAUGCUGUAUGUUGGAGAAUCAUGGAACAUCAUGAAUUCUGAGUGAUCAAAUUAUGGGUGAUCCAAUGAAAGGUGGAAAGACACAUGAUGAAGAAACUGAGACAAACAGCAAGCUAGUAAGAGU